AUUGGUUUUUGAGAGAGAUCAGAAGAACCCCCCCCUCUAUUUAAUUCUGCCUCCAGGAAGUGCUUUUACCUGCUUUCAGUUUUACAGGAGUCUUUUAUCAGCAAGUGGAAUGUGACGGGCAGCUGAAUUUUAAAGAGACACGGGCCUUCGAGGUUUUUGGACACAUUUACACUCUAGUUGAUUGUGAACAGAUCAGUGAAACCAUUCUACACUUGCUGUCUGACAGAUCUGAUCCUGGAUAAACAAUAACAAUCAACUGUUACCUGAUUGGAAAAGUGUAGAGCACUUUCCUGAGAUUCGGGAUUCUUGCUUCAAAGAAUAUUUAAUUAUGAUACCAACUGGAAGAACUCCAACAUCCGAGAGAGAGCAUGCAUCAACCUGCAGCCAGCCAGCCUGGUAGUCAGGGCACUCUCUGCAGAUACUGUUAGGCCCCUGGGCUGAGUCAGUCAAAGCUCUACUCCAACAUCUGUGGUGAAUGGACUGACAACAGGCCUGUUUAAGGAGGAACAUCUCACUUGCAUUUUCAUCAGCCUUUUGACAUAGUGUGACAUGUCAUAAUUGGCAUGAUCACCACUGGCAUGUCAUGAAAUAUGUAAUAAAAGAGUUAAAUUAAAACAAUGUAAAUUAUAUUUGAAAUUUUCUGAAAUAAAAUUUGUUUUGAAAAUUGUUUCAUGGGAAAAUCCAUCAAAAUUCAUAUUAAUUAAUGAAAAUAACAGUUGAUAGAACUGCAUUUUCUGAUGGAGAACUGUUUUGACAAAUCUUAACAAAUUUCCCAAACUACUAAUUAUAGUAGUACAAAAUCUGUGUGUAGACAAGCCUUUCCACACUGAGUUUUAAAGUGCAGGUCUAAAGUAUUGCAAUAAAUAAAUAACAUGACUGCUGUGACUGUCUAAUAGCCAGCGUAUUCAUUCAAGAAAGUCCCUGUUUCUUCAAUCUGCUGAAACAGUAUCACUCAGGAAUACAUUCCUUACGCCCAGCUUUGUUCUCACCAUUGCCAUUUUUACCAGCAAAAACAGCCGCAGGCCAUCAAGUUUUCCCCAUCAAUUAUUAAUGUCAGGAAAUGGCAUCCUUUUCCAUUGUUAUUACUUAAAUAAUGUAACAUGAACACCCUACAUGGAUCAGUGCUGUGUUGCUGGUAGGAUUAUGAUUCUAGCUCACUUGAUAUCUCAACAGCCUGAUAGUAAGAAUAUAAGCCUGGAAGUUCAGGACUCAGGUGUCCAGUAAAGACACUAACUAAAACUUGGGGAAAAUUCUUCUUUUGGUUAUAUUCCUGUAUCUCCACUCAAAUCAGUAAUGAGACAGCAUAGUUAUACUAAUCAUUUUCAUUACUUUUCUUCCUGCUAGAAUUUUGGUUGUUUCUAAUUUUUUAAUUUUGUCUAACACAGAUGUUUUAAAGCUCUUGUCACGAUAGUAUCUUGAUAUUGUAUAGGGUUUAAAAAAAAUCAGAAUUGUUCAGGAAGGUAAGUCAUUUACCUGUCCCAUAAUAGGAUAAAUUCUGGGCUGCACGAUGUCUGAUUUUCUUGCUGUCUGGGGAAUAUUUUGAUGUGAUCUUUAACCAGAUCUGAAGGUUGGACUCUAAAUUAUCAAUUUUGGAAAUAUGUUCCUAAGCCCAGGUCUUCCUCUGUGUUAUUCUCUUGCCUGCUUCUCAUUUGAAACUGUAUCUGAACUUUGAUUAAAUAUGAUUCACUUCUAUUCAGUAUUUCAUUCCAGCUACAGAAUAAAUGACAGUUAAUUUUG